rnacentral:lncRNA from 1 species
AACAUGCAUCAUUAAGUCACUAAAUUAAUUGCUCUAACCUAAUCUAACCACCUAAUUGCACUUAAUUAAAUCUAACCAACCCUAAGCAUAAUUAGCAAACUAAUAAAGCAUUAGUGAGUAAAACUCACUUGAUCAAAAGCGGGGACCGGGACACCGCGACUGCGGUCGAACUUGGGCCCGCUGACAACUUGGAUCGGGCUAAUGAACUUCACAAGCCCACAGAAAUUUCUGAGCUUAGGCCAGCUGGAAUCCUUGGACUGAACUUGGAUUGGGCUGGGCUUGAAGACUUCAACUGGGCUGAAAAUAGGCUGGGCCCAAAGCUGAAACUAAAACUUGCCGGGCUUCAUUGGAUUGGGCUUCAAGAGGGCUGAACAAUUUGCUGGCUUGGGCUGUCGUUGAACUAAACUGGGCUUGUGGGCUGAUUGAUCACAGGCUUCCAAAGAGUUGAAGUUGGGCCACUGAAAAUCGGAAUGGGCUCGUUGCUACUGCUGGGUGGAACACGAAAUCACGCUGGAUUGGGGGUUGCUUCGGUGGAGCUAUUGGCGGGUCAACAACCGAAGCUAGCUGGGAAAUUUUGACUCGGUGAAGGCGUGGCUUCUUCAAGCGGCGUUGCUGUCGUUGAACUCUUGGCAGCAGCAGCAAGGAAGUCGAGCUGCAGACGUGAAGAACGAAGGGGAUGGAGCGGUAGAAGGUGGGCCGGGCUUGGAGAUGGGUUGAUCCGAAGCUGCUUCGCUGGCGUUGAAGAUCUUGGAUGAGUAAGAUCGCUGGUGGAACCGUGACGUGCAGUGAAGACACACGGCAGCAGGAUCAACAAAGCAGGAACUCAACUAACUUCGAUGGAGAAGCGUGGAGAAUUCGGUGGACUCGGGCUUCGUGGAAGUCGGUCAACCAGGGCUUCGGCGGUCCGUUGUUGACUGAAGCAGAAGGAGGAGCGAGCAGGUGGCAACGUGAAGGAACUUGGUGGAGUCGUGGGCUUCAAGCGGUCAACCAACGGCUUCGUUCUUGCAGGUGUUGACCGAGAGAUGCUGGUUGAUGGGCAAGUGGUGAGGAGCAGCUUAAAUUGAAGAUCUCGUGGCUGGCGUGAGUGGAGUGUGUGGGCUUCGGUUGAGGAAGAGAAGUAACGGAGAUGGAGAGAGAUUGGAUGGGGAUUGCUUCGCAUGGUAGAGAGAUUAAAACAAAAGCAGGAAUAAUGAGCGGAUGGGAGGGUUGCCGAGCGUGAGAAGCCAGCUAAGAGGAGACAAGAAAAAUCAGAAAUCUUAGCCAAUACAUUUAAUGUUUUGGCCCCACAAGUCCACCAUACACUCCUCUUUGUCCCCCCAAUCAAUUUCAAGCUUAUCAAC